AUAUAAUGACAGGUAACUUUCCACGAAGUAAGUUCAAGCUUCUUUGUUGUUCAGGGUCAGGUGGCCUUGAAGUUAUUGAAAUUUGCUCUUUAUUUUUGAAAUGCUAAUGCUAUGCAUAACAUUUGAAAUGAAGUUGACGGAUUUCAUAGUGGGCAAAGGAAUCAUUCUUCCCUGAGCAAACUUAAAACUGAUAUGAAUCCUUCAACUUUUGUGCAGGGCAUCUUACUCCUAGAAGCG
rnacentral:misc_RNA from 1 species